rnacentral:rRNA from 1 species
CGCUGGCGGCGUGCUUAACACAUGCAAGUCGAACGAUGAAAUUCUGACGGAGACUUCGGUCAACUGAAGGAUGGAUUAGUGGCGGACGGGUGAGUAACGCGUGAGUAACCUGCCCUUGAGUGGGGAAUAACACACCGAAAGGUGUGCUAAUACCGCAUAACAUAUCAGAUUCGCAUGUUUCUGAUAUCAAAGAUUUAUUGCUCAAGGAUGGGCUCGCGGCCGAUUAGCUAGUUGGUGGGGUAACGGCUCACCAAGGCGACGAUCAGUAGCCGGUCUGAGAGGAUGGACGGCCACAUUGGGACUGAGACACGGCCCAAACUCCUACGGGAGGCAGCAGUGGGGAAUAUUGCACAAUGGGGGAAACCCUGAUGCAGCGAUGCCGCGUGAAGGAUGAAGUAUCUCGGUACGUAAACUUCUAUCAGCAAGGAAGAAACUGACAGUACUUGAUUAGGAAGCCCCGGCUAACUACGUG